rnacentral:rRNA from 1 species
UACGUAGGGGGCAAGCGUUGUCCGGAUUUAUUGGGCGUAAAGGGCGCGUAGGCGGCUUUUCAAGUGACGGGUGAAAUCCCUCGGCUUAACCGAGGAACUGCCUGUCAGACUGGGAGGCUUGAGACCGGGAGAGGUGAGUGGAAUCCCCAGUGUAGCGGUGAAAUGCGUAGAUAUUGGGAGGAACACCAGUGGCGAAGGCGGCUCACUGGACCGGUACUGACGCUGAUGCGCGAAAGCGUGGGGAGCAAACAGG